CUGGGCCACUGUGACGUCAGGCCGGCAGUCAGCCAAUGGAGGAAUGGUUCUGACUUUCUCAUCUGCAUAUUGCGGUGGCAUUGGUUCAGAUUUCAGGGCCGUUUGUAUUGUGGUGGUUUCUUUAUGUUCAAGGUUAUCCACACCAGGCAGAGGACAAACUCCACUCCUGGCCUUCCUGCCCAGCUAGAUUUAAGGAUUGUAACCAGGACAGUGAGUCCCUUCUGGGAAAGGGGCCUCGUGGAGGUUAUGAAAUCCAGCAGGUCAUGGAAGGAGAAACGAUUGACAAUCCAGACGGGAUGGAGGCAGGAGUUGGCUCAGUAACCCCAUCUUUCCUAUCCACCAGCACUCCCCUGCGCUUCCCAAGUGAUUUAAUUAUCCAUUCUUUAACUGCAACUCGGUUAGCCCUGAAAUUUGGGUGAAGAGAAAUCAGACACAGGUUACUUGAAUUACUAUGCUUGGUUUUAUCUUGUAGACGAAUAACUCAGGCAUGUGAAUUGAACAUGCAAAUGUGUGCAAAACAACAUGCAUAAUUUAAGAUUCUCAAAUUAACAGAGGAGAAACAAUUGAGUAACCUCACUGCUUUCUCUGAAGCACAGUUUUCUAAGAAUAUUGUAACCAUUUUUUUUUUUUAGCUGUCUGACAGAAGGGAUUGGAAAAUAGAAGGAAUUUAAAGCAAAAGGGUGGAUGUAGCUAUCAGUGGCAAGAAAAAUGCAGGGAGAUUGCAAUAUUAAAAUAUAGUCAAAUUUCACUUACUCGGAUAUCACUGAGUUUGGAUUUGGUGUAAAUCACCUCAAACUUCCCUUUACUUUGAUGCUAACUAUAAAUACGGUAUUGGUGUGUAUUAGAGCUCUGGUUCUCACCUCCAAGGUUUGAUUAAAUAAGUCUGGGUAGAAAUAAAGAAAUUAUAACAAGUGUCCCAAAUAUUUCUGUCAACGGGGGACUACCGCUGAGAAACUGCCUUGAUUUUCCAAGCCACUUUUAAUUUUAAAUGUUUAUUUCCCCAUGGUCUUCACAAACCAUUGAAAUAUCUCAGCAACUAAAAUAUUCCAGCAUGCAAACUUGAUCUCUUCGAUUGACUACCCCACCCAAAAGCUGUGCAGAAAGCCCCCUAGCACGUACACUGAUUUGGACUGGAAACUGGAGCCGCCGUCGCUGUGAAGAGAUGUGAAGUGACCAGACUUCCAUGUGUGAUGAUUAAUUUUAUGUGUCUACUGGACUAGGUUAAGGGAUGCCCAGAUGGCUGGUAAAACAUUAUUUCUGGGUAUGUCCGUGAGGGUAUUUCCAGAAGAGAUUAGCAUUUGAAUCGGUAGAUUGAAUAAUGUUUGCCUUCACCAAUCCAGGUGAGCGUCAUGUCAUCCACUGAGAGCUCAAAUAGAAAAAGGUUUAGGAAGCAUGAAUUUGCUGUCUGCUUGAGCUGGAACAUCACCUUCUCUUGCCCUCAGGCAUCAGCACUCCUGGUUUGGGGGACUUAGGAUUCAGACUGGGACCUAUGCCAUUGGUUUCCCUGGUUCUCAGGCCUCUGGGCUUCAUUGGACUGGAACUAUACUACCAGUUUUCCUGGGUCUUCAGCUUGCAGAUGGCAGAUUGUGGAACUUCUCAGUCUUCAUAAUUGUUCUCUGCUUCUAGGAGAACCAUGGCUAACACAAAAGAUUUUGACAAAGAAAUAAACAACAUACCAAGUAUUAUAAAGAUCAUAUUUUUGGACCUUCUUUCAUUUAUUUAUUUGGAGACAGAGUCUCACUCUAUGG
rnacentral:lncRNA from 1 species